rnacentral:rRNA from 1 species
AGUGAACGCUGGCGGUAGGCCUAACACAUGCAAGUCGAACGGCAGCACAGUAAGAGCUUGCUCUUACGGGUGGCGAGUGGCGGACGGGUGAGGAAUACAUCGGAAUCUACUUUUUCGUGGGGGAUAACGUAGGGAAACUUACGCUAAUACAGCAUACGACCUACGGGUGAAAGCAGGGGAUCUUCGGACCUUGCGCGAUUGAAUGAGCCGAUGUCGGAUUAGCUAGUUGGCGGGGUAAAGGCCCACCAAGGCGAUGAUCCGUAGCUGGUCUGAGAGGAUGAUCAGCCACACUGGAACUGAGACACGGUCCAGACUCCUACGGGAGGCAGCAGUGGGGAAUAUUGGACAAUGGGCGCAAGCCUGAUCCAGCCAUACCGCGUGGGUGAAGAAGGCCUUCGGGUUGUAAAGCCCUUUUGUUGGGAAAGAAAAGCAGCAGGUUAAUACCCCGCUGUUCUGACGGUACCCAAAGAAUAAGCACCGGCUAACUUCGUG